AAUCGUAUAUAUUUUCACAUGGUUCAAUUUUCGCGUAAAGUUCACAAAAGGCCUGUUAGCGUAGUUGUUGUUUCGCGCAUUUCAAACACCUGAGUGAUGGUAUCCAUCACAACGUUUUCACAACCGAUAGUCAUGGAAUGAUCAAAGCUACAUUACCGCCAUAGUUGAGUCGUG